rnacentral:lncRNA from 1 species
AUGUAAAGGAUUUUUGAGGUUUUUACAUGAAAUAGCAUUUAUAGGAAUUGGAAUAAGUGUUGAUCAUACUUUCUGUUUCAUUUCAGGAGAUACCCUCUGCUCGGCACAUUUCUGCUUCAUGGGGAUGAAGGAAAAAGGGAAUCUUGCAUCAUGGAAAACACAUCCUGCUUCGGGUGGAGAGCACUGUUGUAAAAUUCCUUCAGAUGCACACAGGAACACGUGGAGAUUUUAUUAGUCGAAGAAGUCUUCCAAGUUUCAUUUUGGCCUGUUUGGACAGCUCAGCUCUGUAAUCAUCACUAAGAUUUUUACGAAGGUGGGGAGAGUGGGAUAAUACCAAAAUGCAUUACGUGCAAAGCCAUGUAGAGAACAGGAGGCAUUAAAGAAGACGAGAUUCUUUUCGUGUGGAUGGAAUCACGAGGUAAGUUUGCGAAGCCUUGCCCCGCAGAUUAAUUUCCAGUAUCUCCA